UCCGGGGUGGCGCAGCGGUAGCGCAGUGGACUGUUAAUCCAUUGGUCGUGGGUUCGAAUCCCACCCCCGGAG
rfam:Candidatus Thrbacteria bacterium RIFCSPLOWO2_02_FTLL_53_10 rifcsplowo2_02_scaffold_8697, whole genome shotgun sequence.